GGUACCCUGGCCGAGUGGUUAGGCAACGGUCUGCAAAACCGUCUACAGCAGUCCGAAUCUGCUGGGUACCUCCA
rnacentral:tRNA from 1 species